UACGAAGGGGGCUAGCGUUGCUCGGAAUCACUGGGCGUAAAGCGCACGUAGGCGGAUUGCUAAGUCAGGGGUGAAAUCCUGGAGCUCAACUCCAGAACUGCCUUUGAUACUGGAGAGCUCGAGUCCGGAAGAGGUGAGUGGAACUGCGAGUGUAGAGGUGAAAUUCGUAGAUAUUCGCAAGAACACCAGUGGCGAAGGCGGCUCACUGGUCCGGUACUGACGCUGAGGUGCGAAAGCGUGGGGAGCAAACAGG
rnacentral:rRNA from 1 species